AGACCGUUGGCCAUAUCACACUCCGCAGAUUAGCGUGCUUGGGCGAGAGUAGUACUAGGAUGGGUGACCUCCUGGGAAGUCCUCGUGUUGCAUUCCC
rnacentral:rRNA from 1 species